CUAAUUAUCCGAACCUCAGGCAAUCCGGAACCCGGUGCAAAUCCGGGGCGGUCCCGCCGCUGUAAUCGGGGACGGAGUUGAGUUUCAGGCGCAAUUGCCGGCCACUGCCGGGGGCUUAUUUAUAAAAAACCCCGGUGGGAAGGCUGACCUCCUCCGGCUGAUCCGAGAGCCAGAAGACCUGCCUGGCGGUUUUUUUGUAA
rnacentral:ncRNA from 2 species